UUGCCAUGUCCUCCAAACAGACCGUUCCACUGCAGGAAUGACAGAGUAUGUCUGCGGACCGAACAAAUCUGCAACGGAGUGAAUGACUGUGGCGACAAUUCAGACGAAGUUGACUGUGCGGACGUGGUCAAAAGGCCGAGGCCAUGCGGGAAGUCCGAAUUCUCCUGUGCCAAUCACCGCUGCAUCCCGGCCGAUCUGCAGUGCGACUUCUUUGACGAUUGCGAAGACGGCGGAUCGGAUGAGCACGACUGCAAGGCAUAUUAUGUAGAUUCUGGUGCGUGUCGAGAACGGGCCGACUUGUGCGGAGACGACGCUUUCUGCAACCAUACAAAAACACCCUCAGUCUGCCAAUGCAAAGUCGGAUUUCAGAGGAACCAGAAGAACAAACAAUGUGAAGAGGUGAACGAGUGUCUGCGGUUCGGAAGCUGCUCGCAGUAUUGCACCAACACCAAGGGCUCGUACAAGUGCACUUGUGACCGAAACUUCAAGGAGAUCGAUGGGGAAUGCAUCAC